rnacentral:rRNA from 1 species
UUAAGCGACUAAGCGUACACGGUGGAUGCCCUGGCAGUCAGAGGCGAUGAAGGACGUGCUAAUCUGCGAAAAGCGUCGGUAAGGUGAUAUGAACCGUUAUAACCGGCGAUGUCCGAAUGGGGAAACCCAGUGUGAUUCGUCACACUAUCGUUAACUGAAUACAUAGGUUAACGAGGCGAACCGGGGGAACUGAAACAUCUAAGUACCCCGAGGAAAAGAAAUCAACCGAGAUUCCCCCAGUAGCGGCGAGCGAACGGGGAGCAGCCCAGAGUCUGAAUCAGCUUGUGUGUUAGUGGAACGGUCUGGAAAGUCCGACGGUACAGGGUGAUAGUCCCGUACACCAAAAUGCACAGGUUGUGAACUCGAAGAGUAGGGCGGGACACGUGGUAUCCUGUCUGAAUAUGGGGGGACCAUCCUCCAAGGCUAAAUACUCCUGACUGACCGAUAGUGAACCAGUACCGUGAGGGAAAGGCGAAAAGAACCCCGGCGAGGGGAGUGAAAAAGAACCUGAAACCGUGUACGUACAAGCAGUGGGAGCACCUUCGGGUGUGACUGCGUACCUUUUGUAUAAUGGGUCAGCGACUUAUAUUCUGUAGCAAGGUUAACCGUAUAGGGGAGCCGCAGGGAAACCGAGUCUUAACUGGGCGUUAAGUUGCAGGGUAUAGACCCGAAACCCGGUGAUCUAGCCAUGGGCAGGUUGAAGGUUGGGUAACACUAACUGGAGGACCGAACCGACUAAUGUUGAAAAAUUAGCGGAUGACUUGUGGCUGGGGGUGAAAGGCCAAUCAAACCGGGAGAUAGCUGGUUCUCCCCGAAAGCUAUUUAGGUAGCGCCUCGUGAAUUCAUCUUCGGGGGUAGAGCACUGUUUCGGCUAGGGGGUCAUCCCGACUUACCAACCCGAUGCAAACUACGAAUACCGAAGAAUGUUAUCACGGGAGACACACGGCGGGUGCUAACGUCCGUCGUGAAGAGGGAAACAACCCAGACCGCCAGCUAAGGUCCCAAAGUCAUGGUUAAGUGGGAAACGAUGUGGGAAGGCACAGACAGCCAGGAUGUUGGCUUAGAAGCAGCCAUCAUUUAAAGAAAGCGUAAUAGCUCACUGGUCGAGUCGGCCUGCGCGGAAGAUGUAACGGGGCUAAACCAUGCACCGAAGCUGCGGCAGCGACACUAUGUGUUGUUGGGUAGGGGAGCGUUCUGUAAGCCUGCGAAGGUGUGCUGUGAGGCAUGCUGGAGGUAUCAGAAGUGCGAAUGCUGACAUAAGUAACGAUAAAGCGGGUGAAAAGCCCGCUCGCCGGAAGACCAAGGGUUCCUGUCCAACGUUAAUCGGGGCAGGGUGAGUCGACCCCUAAGGCGAGGCCGAAAGGCGUAGUCGAUGGGAAACAGGUUAAUAUUCCUGUACUUGGUGUUACUGCGAAGGGGGGACGGAGAAGGCUAUGUUAGCCGGGCGACGGUUGUCCCGGUUUAAGCAUGUAGGCUGGUUAUCCAGGCAAAUCCGGAUAAUCAAGGCUGAGGUGUGAUGACGAGGCACUACGGUGCUGAAGUAACAAAUGCCCUGCUUCCAGGAAAAGCCUCUAAGCAUCAGGUAACAUCAAAUCGUACCCCAAACCGACACAGGUGGUCAGGUAGAGAAUACCAAGGCGCUUGAGAGAACUCGGGUGAAGGAACUAGGCAAAAUGGUGCCGUAACUUCGGGAGAAGGCACGCUGGUGUGUAGGUGAAGCCCCUGCGGGUGGAGCUGAGACCAGUCGAAGAUACCAGCUGGCUGCAACUGUUUAUUAAAAACACAGCACUGUGCAAACACGAAAGUGGACGUAUACGGUGUGACGCCUGCCCGGUGCCGGAAGGUUAAUUGAUGGGGUUAUCCGUAAGGAGAAGCUCUUGAUCGAAGCCCCGGUAAACGGCGGCCGUAACUAUAACGGUCCUAAGGUAGCGAAAUUCCUUGUCGGGUAAGUUCCGACCUGCACGAAUGGCGUAAUGAUGGCCAGGCUGUCUCCACCCGAGACUCAGUGAAAUUGAACUCGCUGUGAAGAUGCAGUGUACCCGCGGCAAGACGGAAAGACCCCGUGAACCUUUACUAUAGCUUGACACUGAACAUUGAGCCUUGAUGUGUAGGAUAGGUGGGAGGCUUUGAAGCGUGGACGCCAGUCUGCGUGGAGCCAACCUUGAAAUACCACCCUUUAAUGUUUGAUGUUCUAACGUUGGCCCCUUAUCGGGGUUGCGGACAGUGUCUGGUGGGUAGUUUGACUGGGGCGGUCUCCUCCCAAAGCGUAACGGAGGAGCACGAAGGUUAGCUAAUCCUGGUCGGACAUCAGGAGGUUAGUGCAAUGGCAUAAGCUAGCUUGACUGCGAGCGUGACGGCGCGAGCAGGUGCGAAAGCAGGUCAUAGUGAUCCGGUGGUUCUGAAUGGAAGGGCCAUCGCUCAACGGAUAAAAGGUACUCCGGGGAUAACAGGCUGAUACCGCCCAAGAGUUCAUAUCGACGGCGGUGUUUGGCACCUCGAUGUCGGCUCAUCACAUCCUGGGGCUGAAGUAGGUCCCAAGGGUAUGGCUGUUCGCCAUUUAAAGUGGUACGCGAGCUGGGUUUAGAACGUCGUGAGACAGUUCGGUCCCUAUCUGCCGUGGGCGCUGGAGAAUUGAGGGGGGCUGCUCCUAGUACGAGAGGACCGGAGUGGACGCAUCACUGGUGUUCGGGUUGUCAUGCCAAUGGCACUGCCCGGUAGCUAAAUGCGGAAGAGAUAAGUGCUGAAAGCAUCUAAGCACGAAACUUGCCCCGAGAUGAGUUCUCCCUGAGACUUUAAGUCUCCUGAAGGAACGUU